AUUGAGACGAAUAGCAUAAUGAAGCUUUCUGCCGUGAUUUUCUUGGCCGUUUUCGGGAUCCAAAGCAUUGGAGCACGAGUUAUCGAUGGGGACUACAAUCAAUUGGCACUCGCUGCAGGUUCCACCGGUAACACUGUGCAUGGUGAUUUAAGUCAAGUGGGAUUGUUUGCUUCGGCGUAUGAAAACGAUAUCGAUGAUGAUCUUUACCAAACAGCCAUUUUCACAUCAGUGAGUAUAGAAAUGAUCUAAAAGAAAAACGAAUCAUUUAACUUCACAUUCGUAUUAUUAUGCCCAUAACAACGACAUUGGAGAUGAUCUACGACAAUUAGGAGGACUUAAUAGUGCUUCUAACAACCAUGUCGGAGGAGAUUUAAGUCAAAUCGGUGUAAUUAGCACAUUGAACGACAACGUAAUUGAAGAAGAUGCUUUCCAAGCGGGAGGUUUACAACUCUCAAACAACAACGAUAUCUAUGGAGAUUUCACCACAAUUGGUGUCGGCAAUCUUGGUUUCGGCAACUGGGUCGGAGGAGAUUACUUCUCAGGAGGAGUGGGCAACAUCCAAGGCAACAAUGUAGUUGAGGGAGAUUUUACUGAAUUGGGUGUCGGCAACAUUGCUUACGGCAACGAUAUUGGAGGAAAUGUACUUCAAGCUGGAGUUGGUAACGCA